GUCGAGCGCAGGAAGCAAGUUGAUCCCCUUCGGGGGUGACGCUUGUGGAAUGAGCGGCGGACGGGUGAGUAACACGUGGGCAACCUGCCUGUAAGACUGGGAUAACCCCGGGAAACCGGGGCUAAUACCGGAUAAUACUUUCUUUUGCAUAAAGGAAAGUUGAAAGGCGGCUUCGGCUGUCACUUACAGAUGGGCCCGCGGCGCAUUAGCUAGUUGGUGAGGUAACGGCUCACCAAGGCGACGAUGCGUAGCCGACCUGAGAGGGUGAUCGGCCACACUGGGACUGAGACACGGCCCAGACUCCUACGGGAGGCAGCAGUAGGGAAUCUUCCGCAAUGGACGAAAGUCUGACGGAGCAACGCCGCGUGAGUGAUGAAGGUUUUCGGAUCGUAAAACUCUGUUGUUAGGGAAGAACAAGUACGAUAGUAACUGAUCGUACCUUGACGGUACCUAACCAGAAAGCCACGGCUAACUACGUGCCAGCAGCCGCGGUAAUACGUAGGUGGCAAGCGUUGUCCGGAAUUAUUGGGCGUAAAGCGCUCGCAGGCGGUCCUUUAAGUCUGAUGUGAAAUCUCGCGGCUCAACCGCGAACGGUCAUUGGAAACUGGAGGACUUGAGUACAGAAGAGGAGAGUGGAAUUCCACGUGUAGCGGUGAAAUGCGUAGAGAUGUGGAGGAACACCAGUGGCGAAGGCGACUCUCUGGUCUGUAACUGACGCUGAGGAGCGAAAGCGUGGGGAGCGAACAGGAUUAGAUACCCUGGUAGUCCACGCCGUAAACGAUGAGUGCUAGGUGUUAGGGGUUUCCGCCCCUUAGUGCUGAAGUAACGCAUUAAGCACUCCGCCUGGGGAGUACGGCCGCAAGGCUGAACUCAAAAGAUUGACGGGGGCCCGCACAG
rnacentral:rRNA from 1 species